rnacentral:lncRNA from 1 species
AAGACGGUAGGUGGACAGAGCGAGCGAGGACGGGUGUCUCCGGUGUCUCGACAUCCUCACUUUCUCAGCUGGGACCGCCUAGCCUGUACCCGCAUUUGCCAGGACCCACAUGGACUAUCCUCAGGAAAAUGAGAUCCAGGAAGAGUGACGCCCUCCUCGAACUGAAAGAUACUCAGGUUGAUGGAGUCAGGGACGAAGUGGCUUAUCAACAACACAGGAUGUCUGCAGGGAACAGAACUUAUUCAGACAUGGCCCAGAUUGUCUGCCCGUGGGGACUGAGGGACCUCUGAGGGUUACAUCAGGAAGGAAGGAGAGGCUGUUUCUACAGGUGCCACAGAAAAAUCGAUGCUGAGCCUCGGAUUAUUGGAUCCCAUAGAACCGUGGAGACUUGGCAGUGAAAUUCUUCCAAAGCAUUCCAUCUGCGCAGGCAGGCAGAGGUUUUCCUGGUUUGGGAAGUAUAAAUCCCGUGGGAAGUCAACUGGAGGACAUUUUACGCGUCACUCAUCCUAUUAUGAGCCUGCUGCUCCUCCGUCUCUUGACAAGGCCACCAACUAGAAGGGCACAGAAUUGUUCAUAAAACAGCUGAAUGUGAAUGUCUUUGGAUUCCCAUUUAAUGAGUUGGCAGCUAAAGGACAGGAGCAGCAAUAAGGCUUCCUGGCUACAUUUUCAUGGUGCCACCAACUGCGAGUUAAGCUGACAAACAUUUUGAGAGCUCGGCCCAUUUCAUUCCCAGCAGGAUGGCAGGAGUUAACUAAAACAGAAUAAACUAAAAAUUGUGCCUUCAUUGCACAUUUGCACUGAUUAUCAGCACUGAAAAUGGCUAAGUUCUGCUUAUCAAGAGCGGGUGACUGAUUGUCCCUGCCAGCUGGCUAAUAUCAUAAUUAGCAAAGUUGCUACCACAUCUGCAAAGUUUAAUCGAAAAAUUUACCAGUGGUAUGAUGGCAUUGUCACCGCGAUCCUGAGGGAAUCAGAGUCGACUUCUGCUUCAACUGGAAUGGCAAGGCUGUAGAGCUGAGAUGAGAAACUGUAAACUUGCUCAGCCAAAGGUUAUGCUUCACAUCACCCACCAGGGAGGAUCAUCUCUCAUGAAAACUUUCAAAUUUGAUUUUGAAAAUUUAUUCAGAAAAAUUUAAGCCACGCUCUUUCCCAACACAGGAAAUAAUAUGCUCCAGAGAAUCCUCUAAUUCACCGAAAAUGGACUUGGAUAACAUUUGGGUUCUCAUACUACCACAGUCCUCUUGAGAAGGACAGCCAGGAGGCUAAUAAUGAAGGGGCCAGGGAAGGAGGCCAAUGCUACAGGGUUAUCUCCUAACCUCAGAUGUUGGAUAAGUCCAUGGAAACAGCAGCGCUUCUGGAUGGCUUCAGAAAGGCUGGAGUGAUUGUUUGGACGAGAAAAACCCGCCUAUUCAUUCAAAGGUACAUGAAUGUUGUCGACACUGUCCCAUCUAAAGGUUCAUCCUUAGAAUUCUGCCUUAGACAAAGGAAGUGCUUGGAGCCCCACCACACCUAAAACCAUGCUUUGAAGGAUCUGCCAAGCUCACUUUUAAUCAUGAGAAAGAAAUUACCCACAUGGAGACAGCAGAAAAUGAGAAAGUAGAGAUCGUGCUGCGAAUAAUUCCAGCGAGUGCCAAGGGGCUAGUUGAGGAAUGGCUUCAUGAGAUGUUAGUCUAUCUAGAACAACAGAUUUGGAUCUAAGCUGGACCUUUGAGAAAGAAAAGACUUCGAGGAAAAACACCUUUCCAUAUGUUUUAUUACCUUUCACCUGAAUUGUUUAAUGCACACUAUCCAACUAUAUUCAUCUUUCUUGCUUCAUGUGUAUUUCUUCUUUUGCUUGAACUGCUUUAGAAUUGACUUUUGAGCUACACAGUCAUUCUGGAUUUUUAAAAAGAGAAUUCUAAUAAAAACUUAUAUAUGUUGUUAA